ACCAUGGUGGCAUAGUGGUUAGCACAUCUGCCUUAUGAGCAGAUGGCCUGGGUUCGAAUCCCGGCCCUGGUA